rnacentral:rRNA from 1 species
GUCUGCAGCUGUGCCAAACUGAACAAGGUGGAUCCCAUCUGAGCUCGGAAGCUAAGCAGGGUCGGGCCUGGUUAGUACUUGGAUGGGAGACCACCUAGGAAGACCAGGUGCUGUAGGCG